GGUCUUAUAUUCAUGAAAUGAUACUAGAAUGCAAUUCUUGUGGUGUAAAUUAAUACUAAGACUU
rnacentral:tRNA from 3 species